UACAGAGGUCUCAAGCGUUGUUCGGAUUCAUUGGGCGUAAAGGGUGCGUAGGCGGCGCGGUAAGUCGGGUGUGAAAUCUCGGAGCUUAACUCCGAAACUGCAUUCGAUACUGCCGUGCUUGAGGACUGGAGAGGAGACUGGAAUUUACGGUGUAGCGGUGAAAUGCGUAGAUAUGACCCGGAACACCGAUUGCGAAGGCAGCCCACUAAGCAAUGAUUGACGCUGAGGCACGAAAGCGUGGGGAGCAAACAGG
rnacentral:rRNA from 1 species